UUACAAUCUCCCCGAAUCCACCAGCACAUACAGACACGACAUUUCUUGGCCAAGAUCAAGAGAGGUCAAGGAUCCAAUCCCAGAUCAUGGACUGCGUUCAGUUGUUACGGGUUGAAUCAUUUCUCCCCCAAAACGUCAUGGAGGACCUCAGCACGCGGCUUCCUCCAGAGAGGGGGUCUUACAGAAG